UACGUAGGGGGCAAGCGUUGUCCGGAAUCAUUGGGCGUAAAGAGCGUGUAGGCGGCCAGAUAAGUCCGCUGUGAAAACUCGAGGCUCAACUUCGAGCUGUCGGUGGAAACUAUUUGGCUAGAGUCCGGAAGAGGAGAGUGGAAUUCCUGGUGUAGCGGUGAAAUGCGCAGAUAUCAGGAAGAACACCCGUGGCGAAGGCGGCUCUCUGGUACGGAACUGACGCUGAGACGCGAAAAGCGUGGGGGAGCGAACAGG
rnacentral:rRNA from 1 species